rnacentral:rRNA from 1 species
AUGGUCCUGCCGCGCCGGCGCGGCGGCCACAACCACCACCCGUGCCCGUGCCCGUGCCCGCGCCGCGCCGUUCUGCCGGCAGCGGCGCUACUGCUGCUCUUCCUCCUCGCCGCCGUCACGCUGCUCUACGUCUCUCCGCCGCCUCUGUCCGACCACCCGGCCCUCGCCUACUCCCGCCGCCGCUCCCCGCAUGCUCUGCUGAACAGCUCUGGUGGCGGCAGCCUAGUGGAGCCCGGGCGCCGCGAGAUUUCCCGGGUUCCAAAAGGUGGUUGGAUUGCGACAGAUGGCCUCUGGGGUUCGAAGCUCGCUAGCAAAUUCUAUGGGUGCAGCAACUCAAGCAGCAAGUUUCUUGAUUCAGGUGUUAUGACACAUCCAGACCAAUAUUUGAUGAUUGUUACAAGUGGAGGCCUCAAUCAACAGAGAACAGGGAUAAUUGAUGCUGUUGUUGCUGCACGUAUUUUAAAUGCAACACUCGUUGUUCCCAAAUUGGACCAAACCUCCUUCUGGAAAGAUGCAAGUGACUUUGCUGAAAUUUUUAACGCCGACUGGUUCAUCUCAUUUCUAUCAAAGGAUGUAAGGAUUGUGAAAGAGCUUCCAAAGAUAGGAGGUAAACUGUGGGCUCCUCAUAGAAUGCGUGUGCCCCGCAAAUGCACUCAGCGAUGUUACUUGAACCGUGUGUUGCCUGCACUUAUUAAGAAACAUGUUGUUCGACUAACAAAAUUUGAUUAUAGGCUAGCAAACAGGUUGGAUUCUGAUCUGCAAAAGCUGAGAUGCAGAGUUAACUACCAUGCAUUGAGAUUUACUGACCCAAUACAAGAAAUGGGUGAAAAGAUAGUACAGAGAAUGCGGGAGAGGAGCACAUAUUUUAUUGCUCUUCAUUUAAGAUUUGAACCAGAUAUGCUUGCCUUUUCUGGGUGCUACUACGGUGGUGGAGAAAAGGAGAGGAGAGAACUUGGUGUGAUACGGAAGAGAUGGAAAACCUUGCAUGCUAGCAAUCCAGAGAAAGAAAGAAGGCACGGUAGAUGCCCACUAACUCCUGAAGAGGUGGGGUUGAUGUUGAGGGCACUGGGCUACAGAAAGAAUGUUCAUAUUUAUGUUGCCUCUGGAGAUAUAUAUGGUGGGGCAAAGACAUUAGCACCCCUGAAAGCGCUCUUCCCCAAUCUUCAUACCAAAGAAACAGUAACAAGCAAAGACGAGCUGGCUCCGUUCUCAAAGUACUCAUCUCGCAUGGCCGCACUUGAUUUCAUUGUCUGUGAUGGAAGUGAUGCUUUUGUUACUAACAACAAUGGUAAUAUGGCCAAAAUUUUGGCUGGGCGAAGGAGAUAUCUUGGGCAUAAGAGAAUGAUCCGACCAAAUGCGAGAAGGCUCUACUCCUUAUUCUUGAGCAGAGGAAACAUGUCCUGGGAUGCAUUCUCCUCCAAAGUGCACAUGGCCCAGAAAGGAUUUAUGGGGGAGCCCAAAGAGCUGAGGCCAGGAAGGGGGGAGUUCCACGAGAACCCCUCGACAUGUAUAUGUGAAAACACCGAUCCCAAGACACCGACCAAACCUAACCCUCGAAGUGAGCAAGGAUUGAGUAAUGGCACCGAGGGUAUUAAAGCCAUUACAGAGCCCACAGUUGCUAAUCAUACCAACGAGGAGUUGGGAGGAUCCAGUGCGGAAGAAGAUGACACUAGCGAGGAGAAAGAAGACGACACUAGUGCGGAGAAAGAAGAUGGCGCUAGUGAAGAGAAAGAGGAGAUAGUUGACCCGGAAGUGGAGGAUGAUGCGUUGGUGAGACCAGAUGAUCCUGAGCUGGAGGAGGUUCUUUCAGAUUAG